UCGGGAGCCGCAGAGUGCGUGCGACUUUUCUGUUACUGAGCAUGCGCAGUAGAAAUUGCGGCGGUCACCGCCCUCAGAGCGAAACAGGGCAGAUCCAGGAGGCAGCCCCUGAGGCUCUCUGGCCCUUCAGAGUUCAAACAGUCAAAAAGAUGGAAAAUUUUCCCGUGGCUUUAUUUUAUUUCCUUCAUUCAGUUUCCAAGCCCACAGGCUGAGCUUCCUUGCAGAACAAGAUUAAACCCCUGGAUCACUCACAGACUUCAAUUGCUGAUUGAAACGUUCUGACCAGAAGUGGUCUCCUAUUGGGGACCAUAUGGAGUGAAGAGAGGAAAGAAACAGGCUACCAAAAACAACUCAGAUGUGUUUCGUAUGGUGCCUACCAAUCUUACCAAAUAGGUCACUUGUAUAGCAUUUCCUGAGAGGAAUGUCCACAUGGGUAAGGGUGACCAGAUAGCAAGUAUGAAAAUCGGGA